rnacentral:misc_RNA from 1 species
GAUGGUAAGCGAUUACCGUAGCUUAUAGACAACUGCAACACCAGAAACAUCGCAAGCGCGUUGCCGACCCAAUCCCCAAUCCCCCCAGGAGCUCUGGUCACCUUACUCACCAACAGGAACACAAUACUGCUUGAAAACAGUAUUAUUUUGCUGUGAUCUUCUGUGAGGUACUACCCCAGUCGGGCUGCUCCAUAUUUUGAGCAGGAUAUUUCUUGCUGUGCCCUACCUCAAUAACUACUAAGUAUGGUCAUAAAAUUUUACUAUUUCCAUCCAGACCAUAAAAAGUUAUAGUGUGUAAU